CUCCUCCUCUCCCUUUCUUCCAGAAACUUCCUCUCCUCCCUCUUCUCUCCUCCCUCUCCUCCUCUCUCCACUCUCUGCGCCGCUAGCGUGCAGGGCGCAGGGCCUCCCCGACCGGGCCGCCUGGCCUCCGGCGCAGGCUGCCGGAGCGCGGCGCGCACAGGGCCUCCGCAACUGGGCCGCAUGGCCUCCAGCGCACGGGGCCUCCCUGUUCGAGCCGCAUGGCCACUGGUGUACGGUGCGUCAGGCCUCCCUGACCAGGAGCCUGACCGCCGGCGUGGGGCUGGGCCGCCUGGCCUCCGAUGCGGGCCGCUGUCACAUGACGCGCGGGGAGCUGAAUAGGCAGCUGAAGGUGCGGCUCGGGAAGCUGCAUGGGCAUCAGAAAUGGAGGCCUUGGAUGCUAGUCGGAAAGCUACGAUCUCUAAAACGAGAGCGGAAAUGGCUUUCCUUCAAUAGAUUUAUGACGGCUCUGAUUUUUGCGUGGGGGUUUAUCUUCACGUCUUGGAUCCUUCGAAUCCGCUCUAUGUCUUAAUCUAGCUAGUACUGUACGUAUCCAUGGCCCAUCUAGCCAUCGUCGAUCAGUAUGGUUAUUAUUUGUUAGAAGCGUGCGCUUCAGAACAGAUGAUCCUGUCACCCUGUGGUUUGUUUUGCAAACUAGACAUGUCUCGAAAAAUUCCAUGUGUUUUUGUGGCGGAUGCACCGAAAAAUUUCAUGUGUUCUUCGAUAUUGGCAUAUUUGUGCAAAGUUAUUUGAGAAGUUCA